AAAAGCAAAAUAAAUUCAUACAUACUGUAAUACAGUAAGCCUGAGUAUUUAAUUUAAUUUAUAAUAACUAGUGGGCCCUCGAAUAACUAAAAGUAAGAAAAACUGUGAACCUAUAGUUUGGAGGAUGCAAAUCCAAUGGUAGCCUCGAUGAAAUCAGCUAUCUACAGCCUAUUCUGAGCCUGAAAUGGGUGGAAAGGAAGGUGGUGAGAUUAUAUAAUCCCAGUGAGUAAACAAAUACCAUCUAAAAUAUCUAAAGCCGAGUAAAUGGAGACAGAUAAAAUAGUUUAACAUAUUGUAAUUCAUCACCUUUCAACUUGUUUCAACCAAAUAAAAUCAAUUCAUAUAAAUCGAGUAAUUAACAUGGCUUAUGAAUUUCUUAAAAGUUUGGCUCGUGCCAAAAUCAUUCUCAUACCCAAUUAUCAAGGAUACCUUGAUCGAGGGCUAUCCCAACCGAGUCCGCCAAGGCUGUUAAAAAGUUAUGUACGUAUAAAUUAUGUUUUUAUUUUGAAAAUAUAGCCGUUCCUUGGCGUUGGCUGAGUUCACCCUCACGUGGUGGUUUGGCGUGAAGUGAACUCUAAAGUUAUACCUCGGGAGAUACCCUACUCGCCUCUCCAACAGAGGUAAAAUAUAACAGGAUUCUGUGCCUCUCUAAUAGGCUGGUCUAUAGAAAAUCCGCCUACUGCAGCAAGUUAAACCCACCAUACAAUAAAAUUUACAAUAGCAUGACAUGACAAUUAUUUUAUUUUAUUUUAUAGCUUUUCAAGGCAAAUAAACAAUUUAUACAUUUCCAACACAUUUAUCAAAUCAACCAUUCAUGCCAAUAUUGCCAUAAGCCAAUCAAUUGGAAUCAUGAAUUUACAACACACAAAAACAGUCUCCAAUUACUCUAUUUUCAAACCAUCAUUCAAUUUCAAGACAAUUUUUAAAAUCAUUUUAUUUAAACACAUUUUGUUUAUAAAAUCAAAAAAUUAAUCAUUUAAUUCAUUUUCCAUAAAAUUCACAAAAUCAAAUAAAACAUACUUUAGAUAAUUAAGAUGAUGAUAAGGUUACUCACUAUUUUGGGAGUCAAAUUCCAAGUACUCCAAUUCUUGAUCCUCGGGUACUAUCUCUUUACUUUUACCAGAAUACUCACCAUCUAGACAUAAUGCACAAUAAGCCAUUUACUACAUUGUGCUAAAUUGUUAUAAAACCAAUUCAGGCUUGAUACUAAUGUAUGAAAUGGGAUGCAAAUUGUUCGAUUAUUGUCUAAACACGGUAUUCUACACAAAUUCAAUUGUGUACCUAAAUUAAACGGUAUUGGUCUAAUUCGAUCUAUCACUCGAUUAAUUGGCCAAUACGUCCAAUUCAACUCCAAAUAAUUUCAUUUUUCUCCCAAUACUCCAAAUCAUCAAACACAAAUUAAAUAACUUAAAAUAGGGCAAAAUCAUCCUCACAUUUUCUCUUGAAAAAUUCGACCAUGGUGGGUGCAUCAAUAUUAUGAUUUUUCCUACUUGAUUUUCACACCAUAAAUCACUAAUUCCUAACCAAAUCACUUGAAAUAAAAUCAAAAUCAUCAUCAAUAUUCCACAUGGAGAAUUCGGCCAAUGAUGGGUGAUGGGAGAAAAUGAAUUUUUCUUGUUGGCUUUUCAUGCUACACAACACUAACUAACUAAAAACACUAAAAUAUCUUAAAAUCUAACCAAAUCAAGCAUCAAAACCUCUCUCUAAGUGUUCAGCCAGCAAGAUACCCAUCAUGAAAUCAUGUGAUUCAACCAUGGAAAAUGCAAAAGAAUGCAUGAGAAAGGUAGAUCACACGUCAAAAUCAAGAAAUUUUACCUUUGAUUGUUUGAUUACUUGAAAUCCACUAAUUUUCUCUUGAAUUUUCACCCUAGGGUUCUUGUUCUUUCUUUUCUUCCUUUGUUCUUCCUUUGGCCGGCCAUAUGAAGAGAAAUAGGCUGAUU
rnacentral:lncRNA from 1 species